rnacentral:miRNA from 1 species
GCUCACCAAAACACUCUCUCUUUCUCUCUCUCUCUCUCUCUCUCUCUCUCUCUCUCACACACACACACAGAGAGAGAGAGAGAGAGAGAGAGAGAGAGAGAGAGAGAGAGAGAAACAGUGAAA